UAAUACGGAGGGUGCAAGCGUUAAUCGGAAUCACUGGGCGUAAAGCGCACGUAGGCGGCACGUUAAGUCAGCUGUGAAAGCCCUGGGCUCAACCUGGGAAUGGCAGUUGAUACUGACGCGCUCGAGUCUGAGAGAGGGGGGUGGAAUUCCAGGUGUAGCGGUGAAAUGCGUAGAUAUCUGGAGGAACACCGGUGGCGAAGGCGGCCCCCUGGCUCAUGACUGACGCUGAGGUGCGAAAGCGUGGGGAGCAAACAGG
rnacentral:rRNA from 1 species